GCUGCGGCUCGGGCUCUGCCUGGCGCUCACACGCAUGUGCCGAGAUGCUGGUGGUGCCACACGUGUGCUCGCGAUCUGUCCAUCGGUGUCACAUGUGUGCUCCAUGCCCACUCGGCGGUGCCACGCGUGUGCUCCUGGUCUGCCCAUCAAUGCCACACAGAUGCUCCCUGUCUGUUCAUUGGUCCCAGCAUGUGCUGCUUGUCCAUCAGUGCCGUACGUGUGCUCCCGGUCUGUCCAUCAGUGCCACAUGCAUGUUCCAUGCCCACUCAGCAGUGUCACGUGUGUGCUCUUCUUCUGUCUGUUGGUGUCAUGUGUGUUCCCUGUCUGUCCAUCAAUGCCACAUACGUGCUCCCAGUCUGUCCAUUAGUGCCACAUGUGUGCUCCGUGCUCACCCAGCAGUGCCACGUUUCUGCUUCUGGUUUGCCUGCUGGUGCCACCACACGUUCCUUGUCUGUCCAUCACUACCACGCAUGUGCUCCCAGUCUGUCCUUGAGUGCCACACAUGUGCUCCAUCUGUCCAUCUGUCCCAUACCUGUGCUCCCUGUCCAUCAGGGACCUGCAUGGUCCCAGUCUGUCCAUCAACACCAUACACGUUUUCUGUCUGUCCAUCAGUGCCACACGUGUGGUCCCAGUCCGCCCAUUGGUGCCACCUGUGUGCUCCAUACCCACCUGGCAGUGCCAUUCAUGUGCUCCUGCUCUGUCCAGCAGUGCCACUUGUGCUCCAUGCCCACCCAGCAGUGCUACCCACUUGCUCCACCCCAAGUCAGGGUCACAGUAGUGGUCCAUACGAGCAGCAGCAGCACAGCUGGCAUGAGGAUGUAGGAGCAGGAGCUGGAAGACUGCUGGAACCUGGAAAAGGAAUUUGAUGUGUCAGGGAAUUCUCUGAGGCUGUGCUGGAGGUGCUGGGCGUGGCAUGGGAGCAACCAGGGCACAGCUGGCAGCAGUGCCAUGUUCCAAGGCUGGAGACAGGGGAAGAUGAGGACACUUGAUGGCUGAAGGACAAUUUUCUUCACUGUCCCCUGCCCUGUGCCACAUGGUACCCAUCCAAAAGAUCUUGAGCUCGCUGCGGACUCUGGCUGGGACAGAACAUCUGUCUGUUGCUAUGGCUGCAGUACACUUGAAGGGGAUGACUGGAUAAUUAUUGCAAACAUCCAUCCUGCCUGGUGUGCUCCCGGACCCUCCCUGCCCAGCCAGGGCAGCGGCCGGUGCUCGGGCCCAACUUCACUCGCAGGGACCCUGCGGAGGAAUGAAGCCCAAGUGGAGCUGGGACCCGGAUGAGGGCAGAUCUCCACAGCCACUGGUCAGCAAACAGCACCACAGCUGGCACCCUCUGCCAUGAUCCAGGUCGGUGUCCUCAUCCUUCGCAACAGAGGGGUUUCCCCGGAGAGUCGCUGCCGGAGAUUCACCCACCCACGUGGCGUCGGAGCUGAAGCAUCACCGCGUGUGCGGGCGCGUCCCGGUGCGGAGCACGACCGACCCGCCACGGGACGCUGCCUGUAGGAGGAGAACGUGGCAGCGCUGCUCCUGACUCACUGCACAGGCAGCAAUCCUGCGACAGCGAUGCCGGGCUUGCCCAGCACCAAAAAGUGACAGCAUGCUCCACCCACCCCGGCUGCGGGAGCAGGAGCCUUCUCCGCAUGCCCGCGGUCUGGAGGAGCCGCUAUCCCGCGCACAUCUCCCCGUCCUGCUCCGUGACACACCAAAUCUCAUCCCGCUGCCUCGCCCGCCGCCCCCGCGCUCCCCCGGCUCUGCCUUUCCCUUCCCUCGGUCGCCCAGGGCUCAGCUCGCCCCACGGAGCUCUGGGAUGGGGAGGAAGGGGAGAAAGGCUGCUCAGAGGCUGAGGCCCAGCCCUCUCAGAUUUGCAUAUUUUUUUACUGGCUCCCAAAUAAGACAUUUCUCCGGGGAAGUGAAUGCGUCGCCUGCCGUCCCCGAGGGUGCUGUGUGCUGGGACAGCAGCCGCUCCGCGAGGAGGGGCCGCGGUCCCGGCACCCACCGCGAUCCUGCAAUACACGCCCGCACUUCUCUGCUGCCGCAGGAAAAGCCUUUCCCUUGAUGGUUUCAAAAUUCACGGGCUUUAAUGCUGCUGCCCUGGGACUAGGUCCGGUCCCUCUUGGCUCGCAGGAGUCCCGGAGGCGGCCGGGCUGCAGCCGCCUGCGCAAAUCUGCUCAUUUCUAUUUUGUCACUAGAA